rnacentral:rRNA from 1 species
UUAAGUUAUUAAGGGCGCACGGUGGAUGCCUUGGCACUAGAAGCCGAUGAAGGACGUUACUAACGACGAUAUGCUUUGGGGAGCUGUAAGUAAGCUUUGAUCCAGAGAUUUCCGAAUGGGGAAACCCAGCAUGAGUUAUGUCAUGUUAUCGAUAUGUGAAUACAUAGCAUAUCAGAAGGCACACCCGGAGAACUGAAACAUCUUAGUACCCGGAGGAAGAGAAAGAAAAUUCGAUUCCCUUAGUAGCGGCGAGCGAAACGGGAAGAGCCCAAACCAAAAAGCUUGCUUGUUGGGGUUGUAGGACACUCUAUACGGAGUUACAAAGGACGACAUUAGACGAAUCAUCUGGAAAGAUGAAUCAAAGAAGGUAAUAAUCCUGUAGUCGAAAAUGUUGUCUCUCUUGAGUGGAUCCUGAGUACGACGGAGCACGUGAAAUUCCGUCGGAAUCUGGGAGGACCAUCUCCUAAGGCUAAAUACUCUCUAGUGACCGAUAGUGAACCAGUACCGUGAGGGAAAGGUGAAAAGCACCCCGGAAGGGGAGUGAAAUAGAACCUGAAACCGUGUGCUUACAAGUAGUCAGAGCCCGUUAAUGGGUGAUGGCGUGCCUUUUGUAGAAUGAACCGGCGAGUUACGAUUUGAUGCAAGGUUAAGCAGUAAAUGUGGAGCCGUAGCGAAAGCGAGUCUGAAUAGGGCGUUUAGUAUUUGGUCGUAGACCCGAAACCAGGUGAUCUACCCUUGGUCAGGUUGAAGUUCAGGUAACACUGAAUGGAGGACCGAACCGACUUACGUUGAAAAGUGAGCGGAUGAACUGAGGGUAGCGGAGAAAUUCCAAUCGAACCUGGAGAUAGCUGGUUCUCUCCGAAAUAGCUUUAGGGCUAGCCUCAAGUGAUGAUUAUUGGAGGUAGAGCACUGUUUGGACGAGGGGCCCCUCUCGGGUUACCGAAUUCAGACAAACUCCGAAUGCCAAUUAAUUUAACUUGGGAGUCAGAACAUGGGUGAUAAGGUCCGUGUUCGAAAGGGAAACAGCCCAGACCACCAGCUAAGGUCCCAAAAUAUAUGUUAAGUGGAAAAGGAUGUGGCGUUGCCCAGACAACUAGGAUGUUGGCUUAGAAGCAGCCAUCAUUUAAAGAGUGCGUAAUAGCUCACUAGUCGAGUGACACUGCGCCGAAAAUGUACCGGGGCUAAACAUAUUACCGAAGCUGUGGAUUGUCCUUUGGACAAUGGUAGGAGAGCGUUCUAAGGGCGUUGAAGCAUGAUCGUAAGGACAUGUGGAGCGCUUAGAAGUGAGAAUGCCGGUGUGAGUAGCGAAAGACGGGUGAGAAUCCCGUCCACCGAUUGACUAAGGUUUCCAGAGGAAGGCUCGUCCGCUCUGGGUUAGUCGGGUCCUAAGCUGAGGCCGACAGGCGUAGGCGAUGGAUAACAGGUUGAUAUUCCUGUACCACCUAUAAUCGUUUUAAUCGAUGGGGGGACGCAGUAGGAUAGGCGAAGCGUGCGAUUGGAUUGCACGUCUAAGCAGUAAGGCUGAGUAUUAGGCAAAUCCGGUACUCGUUAAGGCUGAGCUGUGAUGGGGAGAAGACAUUGAGUCUUCGAGUCGUUGAUUUCACACUGCCGAGAAAAGCCUCUAGAUAGAAAAUAGGUGCCCGUACCGCAAACCGACACAGGUAGUCAAGAUGAGAAUUCUAAGGUGAGCGAGCGAACUCUCGUUAAGGAACUCGGCAAAAUGACCCCGUAACUUCGGGAGAAGGGGUGCUCUUUAGGGUUAACGCCCAGAAGAGCCGCAGUGAAUAGGCCCAAGCGACUGUUUAUCAAAAACACAGGUCUCUGCUAAACCGUAAGGUGAUGUAUAGGGGCUGACGCCUGCCCGGUGCUGGAAGGUUAAGAGGAGUGGUUAGCUUCUGCGAAGCUACGAAUCGAAGCCCCAGUAAACGGCGGCCGUAACUAUAACGGUCCUAAGGUAGCGAAAUUCCUUGUCGGGUAAGUUCCGACCCGCACGAAAGGCGUAACGAUUUGGGCACUGUCUCAACGAGAGACUCGGUGAAAUCAUAGUACCUGUGAAGAUGCAGGUUACCCGCGACAGGACGGAAAGACCCCGUGGAGCUUUACUGUAGCCUGAUAUUGAAAUUCGGCACAGCUUGUACAGGAUAGGUAGGAGCCUUUGAAACGUGAGCGCUAGCUUACGUGGAGGCGCUGGUGGGAUACUACCCUAGCUGUGUUGGCUUUCUAACCCGCACCACUUAUCGUGGUGGGAGACAGUGUCAGGCGGGCAGUUUGACUGGGGCGGUCGCCUCCUAAAAGGUAACGGAGGCGCUCAAAGGUUCCCUCAGAAUGGUUGGAAAUCAUUCAUAGAGUGUAAAGGCAUAAGGGAGCUUGACUGCGAGACCUACAAGUCGAGCAGGGUCGAAAGACGGACUUAGUGAUCCGGUGGUUCCGCAUGGAAGGGCCAUCGCUCAACGGAUAAAAGCUACCCCGGGGAUAACAGGCUUAUCUCCCCCAAGAGUUCACAUCGACGGGGAGGUUUGGCACCUCGAUGUCGGCUCAUCGCAUCCUGGGGCUGUAGUCGGUCCCAAGGGUUGGGCUGUUCGCCCAUUAAAGCGGUACGCGAGCUGGGUUCAGAACGUCGUGAGACAGUUCGGUCCCUAUCCGUCGUGGGCGUAGGAAAUUUGAGAGGAGCUGUCCUUAGUACGAGAGGACCGGGAUGGACAUACCUCUGGUGUACCAGUUGUCGUGCCAACGGCAUAGCUGGGUAGCUAUGUGUGGACGGGAUAAGUGCUGAAAGCAUCUAAGCAUGAAGCCCCCCUCAAGAUGAGAUUUCCCAACUUCGGUUAUAAGAUCCCUCAAAGAUGAUGAGGUUAAUAGGUUCGAGGUGGAAGCAUGGUGACAUGUGGAGCUGACGAAUACUAAUCGAUCGAAGACUUAAUC